GUCGAAGUGCGUCGUGGUCAUAGUCCAGUGGGCAGUGCAACAACAACGCUGGUGAAAUUAAUAAUUAUAAACUUAAUAGAUUGAUCAACCUUUUUACCGGUUUUUGAAAGAAAACUUCAACAAUGGACCUCUUCUAUAUCAGCUGGAUAACAGCCCUUCACCUCUUCAGCUUUUCUUUAGUUACAUCAUCAUCAGAUGAGACAUUCACUGCUGCUGUGGUUGAACCUGUGACUUCAGAACAUAUUUUACCAAAUGUGACCAAAGAGUCUGCUCUUAAAGUCAUUAACAAGAAUCUUAAUCACUAUGAAGAACUUAUACAAACGGCAUCACAACAGAAUGCUAGCAUCGUCGUCUUCCCCGAGUAUGGAAUUACUGGCUUUGGUCAGAGUCGGAAAACUGCUAAAGUCUUUGGAGAGGUGGUGCCAAAUCCAUACAUUACAGUUAUCAUACCAUGUAUUGACCUAACAAACAGCACUAUACUCAGAAAAUUAAGUUGUUUUGCAAUGCAGUAUAAUAUAGUAGUUGUAGCUAAUAUGAUUACUAUUGAAGCAUGUUUGCCUAAUGACUCCCAUUGUCCAAGUGAUGGGCAUUAUGUGUACAACACUGAUGUGGCAUUUGAAAGAAAUGGUCAGCUUGUUGCUCACUAUAACAAAAUAAAUGUUUAUGCUGAUGAGAAGCAGAUAUUCGAUACGCCUAUUGGGAGAAGCAUAGAAAAUUAUGGCGUAUUCAAGACAGACUUUGCAACCAUUGGUCUUUUCAUCUGUUUUGAUAUGUUGUUUGAGUAUCCAACUUCGGACUUAGUGUAUGGUGUUGGAGUAGACACAAUGGUGUUUUCAACUGCUUGGAUGAAUGAGUUACCAUUGUUGAGUGCUGUUGAGUACCAGGAAGCAUGGUCUGUGCGCUAUAACACUACAUUAUUAGCAUCAAAUCAGCAUUUACCAUUGGUCAAGAUGACCGGUAGUGGAAUCUAUGAUGGUGAUAGAGGUGCUUUGACCUACCACUACGACAUGGUUACAUACAAAUCAAAAUUGCUGAUAGUGAAUGUUCCAAAGCGCAAGAAUGUCCAGAUCAUCCCAAGUGUCAGAGAGGUUAUCAUCUCAAUUUUAAGGAACAUGGAUUAUGAAACCUUAGACAAAGUAUCACCAGUGAUAAGAGCUCUUUUGGAUAAUAAGUCGGACCUUCAGCUGAGAGAUACUAUUUUUCAAGAUAGGUAUGCGCCCCAAGAUAUGUAUGUGCCCCAAGAGAUCCACCACACUCAAACCUCAUUCCAAGGAGUCAUGAAUGAUGACCUGUACACAUUCGAACCUCUUGUAGGUGCCACUGGUCAUGUAUCAGUAUGCAAUGGUAGUAUCUGCUGCCAUUUAAAUUAUACACGUGAAGAAAUGAAGAGUUACGAGUUGUAUGCUCUUGGUGCAUUCGAUGGACUGCACACACACAAUGGCCGAUAUUACCUCCAAACUUGCAGCCUUGUAAAAUGUCAGGUGAAUGAAGGAACCAAAUGUGGCGGUGAAAUUGAAACUGCAAAAGGGGUUUUCAACAACAUUAGCUUAAGCAUAAGUGGUUAUCAUCCUGUUGUUUAUCUUUUCCCAGAAGUAGUAACUAACAAAAUUAAUUUAGCAGUGAUUGGUAAGGAAUGGAUAUCGGAGUUUCCGUAUGACCAUAUAAGGAGCAUAGGGAAUGGCAUAAAGCAACCUCUUGUAGCUGCAAGUAUAUAUGGGAGAUGGUAUGAGAGGGAUACUGUCUUACCUUAGAAGAUGGUAUGACCAUGGAGGUAUAAAUACAUGGUAUGACAGAUGGCACAAUUCAUACAGUAAAAUUAGGUAAUAGAACUGUGAGAUAUGUUGGGUGUAAUGCCAUCUUCUCUGCACUGUAUUGCAUUGAACAUUGUGGACAGAGCCACUUGGCAUUUAAUUAUUUAGGGCCUUUGAAAUUAGAUAUGUUUAAAUUAAAACUUUCCAAGUCAGCUUUCAACUCAAGUUGUUAUGCAAUAAUUCAAUGUAUGAAAUAAAUAUGAAUUUUAUAAUAGAAAUUGAAAUAUAUUUUUUAUAUUAAUUAACUGAUUAUUGAAAAGCAUGGGAAACGUGUAAUGCAAGGUUGCAUAGUAUUUGAUUAAGCUUUAAAGGGUUCUGGUUUGAAAUCUUACAGUACUGUACAUCCAUAAGUUCUGUAAGACAUCUUAUAUUAAAUAUAAUAUUAAUUUCAAUAUGGACAUAAAGAAAAUUUGAAAAUAAAUAAGUUAUUGAAACCUGGCGUAAGAACCAAUAAACUGUAUAUCUAUGAAAAUAUAAAUGCGUUCUAAAAGAAAUUUCUGUUAAAGUAAAAAAAUUGUUUAUGCAAACAAGAGAAAAUUGGAACUUCACAUUCUUUCUACUGUAUUUUGGUUUAUUCAAUACUAAACAAAAUGGGAAUUGUCCAACUAAUACAUAUUAAUCCAUGCAAUAAUGCUAUAACAAUGAUUUAAUAAUUAUAUCUAGCAAUCUCUAAUACUGUAUUACGUAAUAACAUUUUCAACUGGUGUGCACUGUUGACUUCGCAGAAUCAUCUUUAAAAAUCUUAAAGCUUCAAUAAACACAAAUGUCCGGACAAAAUGACAUGCAAGAUAAAAUCUUGACAAGAUAUAUUUUAAACAAACUUUUAAAAUAGGUUUGACAGACAGGGAUUUACACUUUUUUAACAUAUAAUUUGCAUAUUAAAAGUAUGUAGCAUAAUUUGAAUAGAUGUUCUGCCUUAUACAAACUUGAGUAAAUGUUAUUUUAAAAAUAAGAUGUAGAAAGACUUGAGAAGAUGCAGAAAGACAAAUCACAAAUGUAUACAGUAUAUAGAUACAUACACUGGAAAAAAUAACCAGCAGUAUAAUUUAAGUACAGUAUACAGUAACUAACACAACUAAAAUUACUGGAUACAGAAUAACUAUUGCAUCAUUAAUUAUGAAAAGUCUUACCAUGUUUCUAUAAUUAAACUGGUAUUUUCUCUGUAUAUUUUUGAUUUAUAAUUGUUAAAGCUAAAUUGUUUUUUGAGUCAUACAAGGGAGGUGGUACUACACAUCCUCAUCAUACUCUUUCUAGAUUAAUUGUUUAAUUAAUGUUUUAUUUUUUUAAAAUUUGUAUCUUACUUUCAUCAGUACAUGUUUUGUGUCCUCUUUGCUAGACAUGACUAUUACAAAUGUUUGCUUUUUGAUUAUGCCUCCUUCAAUUUAAUUAAUGUCUUUCUUUGUAUCUACAGUGUUUGAAGAAAAUAAAGAUUUCCGUGUUAAAAUCA